GCCGGGCGAGCGCCCCUUCGCCCUCGCCCAGCCCCGCGCGCCCCCUCUCCGCCCUCCCCAGCCCUGCCCGGCCAGUGGAGCACCGGGAAAGAUGAACCACGGCGCCAAAGCCGAGAAGGAGAAUUCCCCGGGCGAGGCCAACCUGCAGGAGGAAGAGGUGCGGACCUUAUUCGUCAGUGGUCUUCCCUUUGACAUCAAACCUCGGGAGCUUUAUCUACUUUUCAGACCAUUUAAGGGUUACGAGGGUUCUCUUAUAAAGCUUACAUCGAAGCAGCCUGUAGGUUUUGUCAGUUUUGACAGUCGCUCAGAAGCAGAAGCUGCAAAGAAUGCUUUGAAUGGCAUCCGCUUCGAUCCUGAAAUUCCGCAAACGCUACGACUAGAGUUUGCUAAAGCAAACACGAAGAUGGCCAAGAACAAACUAGUAGGGACACCAAACCCCAGUACUCCUCUGCCCAACACUGUACCUCAGUUCAUUGCCAGAGAGCCAUAUGAGCUCACAGUGCCUGCACUUUACCCCAGUAGCCCUGAAGUGUGGGCCCCGUACCCUCUGUACCCAGCGGAGUUAGCGCCUGCUCUACCUCCUCCUGCUUUCACCUACCCCGCUUCACUGCAUGCCCAGAUGCGCUGGUUCCCUCCCUCAGAGGCUACUUCUCAGGGCUGGAAAUCCCGUCAGUUCUGCUGAACUCUAUGUUCCAGGUGUGUGAUGGUGGCUGCACUCUGUCUUGUGGGUAUUAAUGCGAUCUUCAGCGGCGCCUACUGCUCUCGACCUGUUCUGCAGAACUGGAGCGUGCCGGCUUGAAAAAAACUUGCCCCGUUUUGAUUCCUUCAAGACCUUGCCACAGCCUCUAUCACACAUCUGUUUUUUCCCGAAGAAAACAUAUAUAUAUAAUAAAA